rnacentral:rRNA from 1 species
CGCACGGGUGAGUAAUGCAUAGAUAAUGUGCCCCUUAGUUCGGGAUAGCCACUGGAAACGGUGAUUAAUACCGGAUACUCCUUCUUGUUAUAAGACAAGUCGGGAAAGUUUUUCGCUAAGGGAUCAGUCUAUGUUCCAUCAGCUUGUUGGUGAGGUAAUGGCUCACCAAGGCUAUGACGGAUAUCUGGUUUGAGAGGAUGAUCAGACACACUGGAACUGAGACACGGUCCAGACUCCUACGGGAGGCAGCAGUGAGGAAUAUUGCACAAUGGAGGAAACUCUGAUGCAGCAACGCCGCGUGGAGGAUGACGCAUUUCGGUGUGUGAACUCCUUUUAUUAGGGAAGAUAAUGACGGUACCUAAUGAAUAAGCACCGGCUAACUCCGUGCCAGCAGCCGCGGUAAUACGGAGGGUGCAAGCGUUACUCGGAAUCACUGGGCGUAAAGGGUGCGUAGGCUGGCUUUUAAGUCAGAUGUGAAAUCCAAUGGCUCAACCAUUGAACUGCAUUUGAAACUGAAAGCCUAGAGUUCAGAAGGGGCAGAUGGAAUUAGUGGUGUAGGGGUAAAAUCCGUAGAUAUCACUAGGAAUAUCAAAAGCGAAGGCGAUCUGCUGGGAUGAUA